UUCCUGUUUUUACUUACAGUGCCAGCAAUUUGCCUCCCUCAUCAGGGCCACAUCUACAUGUGGAGUUCAUCUCCCAUAAAAGAGGAUGCACAUAGUAUACCUCACACAUGAACUCUGUAAUAAGCUAUGGUGAUCUUUAUAUGCUUCACCAACUGGUGACCAAUGGGCUCUUUUCUGAGAAAAUAGCCCAGUUUCCUCUUAAUUUUGUUAAUUCUGCACCUUGGUGCUCGUGAAGUAAGAGCACUAAGUUCAGAUGAUGAAGCACUUCUUGCUUUCAAGAAGGCAGUUACAACUUCUGAUGGGAUAUUCCUCAACUGGCGUGAACAAGAUGUGGAUCCUUGCAAUUGGAAGGAUGUUAGAUGUGACAGUCACACCAAGAGAGUAAUUUAUCUCUCAAGGCAAGGAGAGGCAGUGUCUCAUGGGAAUCAGGGGUAAGGGUAAGCCACCGUGCCAAAGAUUAUUCAAUUUGAGAGAGAAUACAUAUACCUUGCACCUGUACACUUGAGAUAUAUAGCAUAGUAGCAACUCUUGAUCAACAACCAAGUUUUUGUUUCCUUUCGUCUUUUACUCGGGAUGAGUAAAGGUUCAAGCUUGGGGGGUUUUGUUGACGGUCGUUAGCAAACAGUUUCGACCGCCAAUACUAUCAAAAUAAAGAAGAACAAGUUAUGCUUGCAAUGCAUAUUUGUGUUAGAAUAAUAAAUAUUCCACUAGUUAUAGGAUUACUAACCUCUU